UACUAAAAUUGGAACGAUACAGAGAAGAUUAGCAUGGCCUCUUUGAAAGUUCUGUGACAUUAAUCUGAAAAGGUAAUCAAAUCUGA
rnacentral:snRNA from 1 species